GCGGCCCGACGAAGCCCGGCUCGCGCGGCUCAUCUGCAUCGGUCGGCACCUGGACCGCGCAGCGCUGCGCACUGCUUUUGAGUCGGCAGUGCCGGUCCAAGCUGAAGACUCAUCCGCUGUGUGACGUCAUGGCUGGCGGUGUGACGUCACAGUCCGCCAUAGCUCGUUUUUUGCAUUGGUCUUGGACAUGUCGCUGUUCGCUGUUGCCCGGGCCGGAUGUGCGCCGUGCGAAAUCGACCCGUGAUUGGUGGAUUUAUAACAGAAUAUUUAUUAGACAUUCUGCAGGACAGGUUUACAGGUUGCAUGCUAGCACCUCCAGGGUUGCUCCCUGCCUUCAUUCAUCCCCGGUCGGAAGAAUGGUGCUCCUCAGUUACUGAAACAAGCCGGAAAGGUUGACAACGCACUGAGCCUCGCCAGCGGACCUCGUUAACUUCAGCCAUGGCGUAACCAGCCGCGACGCAUCCUUGCGUCUUGGCUUGGGCGUCGGUCCGACGGUGAAUCAAUAGCCGCUUGUCAAUGGUGUUCAAGACCAUAACGUAAGCCAGCGAGUUACCGCGGCGGGCUUCGGGGUCCUGGGACUCUUGUAUGCGCCGCCACCUGUAACUUUGCAACGGUGAACAUGCGAUGGUUUGUGGACUGAACGUGAGCUUUCUUCUUGCUGACAGUGAAACAUCUCGCCCGAGCACCCCUCAUCUUUGAAUGGUUUCCAUGGUAACUGAAGUGAUGUGUUGGACUCACCGAGUGAACCGUGGAACUUUUGUCUCCUGUCGCUAACUUGUGUGCAAAUGGCUACUUGUGGCAUCCUCAUAACUGCGGAAUAAAGACCAAGACUAUAAUGA